UGCUUCUAAAUGAAUAUGAAAUAGAGUUUAUGUUCAGAAAAAUUCGAAACAUUCGAAAUUUGGGCAAUGUUCACAUAAGAGGUCCUCACAUUGUUAUGAGCAGAACCGAUGCGCAGAACGGACUUGACUUCCCCUUUAACAUAUUGAAUGUUAUUAUGCUGUGGAUAAAAUUGCCAACACGUCGCUUAUAAUAGAGACAGUGGUGGUCCUAUGGUUGGUGUUCCUACGGUCCCGAGGUUGGUGGUUCCGUGGUCGCCGGUGCUUCAUCCACAGGUCUUGAGCGGACAUAAAAGUUUACGGAUCCAGAUAAAGUAGAGCCUUGGCUGGUGUAAUAUCCAUGAAAGCUGCUGGAUAAUGCAGGUAAACUUAUUCCUGCCCCCAAAGCAUAUAUGGUUUCGGGGCAACC